UAGGGAAUCUUGCACAAUGGACGAAAGUCUGAUGGAGCAACGCCGCGUGAGUGAAGAAGGGUUUCGGCUCGUAAAACUCUGUUGUUAAAGAAGAACAUAUCUGAGAGUAACUGUUCAGGUAUUGACGGUAUUUAACCAGAAANCCACGGCUAACUACGUGACCAG
rnacentral:rRNA from 1 species